CCCCCUGCCCUGCCCCAUCUUUUCUCUCUACCUGUGAAGGAUGGGAAGUCGCUGGAGUAGACUCUGAACAGCUGGCUGGCUCAGAUGCCAGGGAAGAGCGUUCAGUUUAGAGCAGGGGUCAGGAAGGGCUUCCAGAGGAAGUAACGUCACGCUGAGCCCUCAAGGAUGACUUACAGGUAACUGGGCAAGGAGGGAACAGCACUUGCAAGGGCUGCAUGGCGGGAGGUGAUACGGAACAUUUGAGGACUGGAAGACAGCCAGGGUGGCCGGAGAGGAGCAAGUCUACCCAAGUCCAAGCGGGACUCGACUCAGGGGGAGAAUCUCAGACCCACGCCUACACCACCACCAGGAAGGAGGCCCUGAUUUUACCCUUCAUUUAAAAACACGCUUCUUUUGCACUUUGGAUUCUGUUUGGGGCAGGUGUUGGGGUGGGGACUUGAGAAACCAAACAAACCACACAAACCCGGUGCACAGCUAUGGGAAGAGGGGACACAGGAGACCUGUUGGUUAGGCACUGCUCUGGCUUGCAGCCCAUUAAAAACGUAAGCACCAACUACUGUGUCAGCAUUGAUGGCAUCUUCGAUGAGCACAAAACAGCCACAGGUGAAGAAGGUGGACCAGGAAGAGAGGACGGCCAGGCCUCCACCAGCUCACCCAUCACUGGGACAGUGGCUCCAGGUCUGGCUGCCAUGUGGAGACAAAAGGAAAGAGAAAUACCAGAGUCUUCAUGGAAGAGAGGGAGCAUGUCAAGGCCACGAGCCUUUGAAAGUAACCCCAUGGAGCAAAUCCAUCCUAAAAAAUUACCUUUGUUGGAUGCCGCAAACACGUCCACCCCGUCCACGGGCUGCCUUCUGCAGUGUCUUUCACAGGAGGUCUGUGCAGACCCCAGCCUGGUCCUCCAGCCCUGGACGUGCUGGCACAGCCAUUCUGAAGGUCACAGCGGCUCUGUGCCCAGAUCACACAUUCGUCUUCCAGAGUAAUUCCGGGCACCCAGGACUCCUGCUCUCUCGAUCUUCUCUUUUCAACAUCAUUCUGCCAGCAGCUUAGCAGAGAUGGAACUGCGAUGCGUUUCUCGGCUUAGUUCCACUGAACGCUGAGAUCCAGGUGCAAAUGAACACAGCCACGCUCCCAGGCCCCACAGACCCCCUCAUCUAACUGGUCCCUAAUGGUGGAAGGAGGGAUGGAACUUCCCCUUAUUAAAUAAACAGUUUUGGUGUU
rnacentral:lncRNA from 1 species